AAACAUUAUAAAACUCUUUCAUGUAAUUGUGAAUGUAGAGGAAAUAUUUUAGGCAAAUAUAUUAUAAACUGGGAUGUAAGGAAAGUAAGUUUGUAAACCUCAGGUUUACCUGUAAUGUGACAAUUACAGUGAAAUGUAACUAAGUGAAUAAAAUCUAGUAACAACACCGAGUGCUAAUAAGGAUUUGAGGGCCUGAAUUGUUCAUACACUGCAAGUGGCAUAUAAAGUACCAGACACUCUAGUAAAGAAUGUGGUGGUUUCUUAAAAAAAAAAAAUCUGAAUUUCUAUUUCCCACAGGACACAAUAGUCACACGUUUGGUUUAGACAGAAUUGUAUGUACACAAACAUCUGUACAUAAAUUAUACAGCAUGUGUAUGCACACUAGCCCAAACUUGAAAACAACUCUCAAGUCUUCAAUGGGAGAAUGGAUAAACAAACAGCCAGGAAUGUCACCUUACUGAGCAAGGAAAAGGAGUUGUCCACUCAUACAAUAUCCUAUAUUGAUUGGAAGGGUAUUGUGCUGAGUGAAAAGAGCCAACAGAAUAAGCCACAUGUUGAGUAUUUUUAUUUCUGAGACACUCUUGAAUUAAUACAAUAAUGGAAAUGGAUCACAGAUUAGUGACUACCAGGAGCAAAACCAGAGUGGCAGCUAGAGGUAAAGGUGGCUUCGAAAGGGCAGCCCUACCAUGGACCCCUACCACGGUGGAACUUUGAAAGACAGGCAGAGUUACUGCUGAUGGUGCGAUGGUGCAACUAUGGUUUCUCAGUAGCUCCGUGGGGAUAACUGGAAACAGGUUUACGGAAGGUGUCUCUAAAGUUCAAUUUAUAAAAAUAACACAAGCCAAAACCUCAAAAUAUCCAUCACCCUUUGAGGUAGAAUACUCAGUGAGUGAUUGUAGAAUAAUUAACAAAAAUAAUUUAACUGACUAGAGAAGACACGCUUAGGGAUGAAUUCAUAUGAAAAGUGUAUGGUCAGCAGUACUUAGAGACAUACUAAGACAUUUGUUUGAAUUCUUAAACAGCACCUGUAGUGCCUUAUAGAGCUGAAUAGAUGUGGUAAGUAUUCAUUUACAAAGUUAUUACCACAUAUUUCAACUAAACGCAAGAUAAAUGUGUCUUGACAGUUGUGUACGCCAGUUGUACAUAUUUUCCAAAUUCCUGUGAGAGUCAUGCAUUACAGUCAGAAAUAAAUGAGCACUUCAUGUAACCAUCCAAGUUAGUAUGCUUAGAGAAAACAUCUACUUUAAAAAUGUUCCCCCUUUUAUUGGUACCAUAACAUUUAUGUUAGGGAAACAAGUGAGGAAUGAAGUGAUUUCAUUUGAAAACUAAAUGUAUUGAAAAGCCUUUUACUUUUUUCUAUUGAAUAUUAGACAGAAAGAGGAUAGAUAUAUUUUGUAUUGGACCUAUUUAUACCAUGAGUUUUCAUUUAAUGAAUGAGUUUCACAAAUAAAUGGCUGGUAUAAUACAUUUUCCCUGUGAUUACAAAAUGGAAGGAAAUCAGGCUAAACAGCAUACUAUCCAGAGUAGUGAUCUAGUCGUUUCUUUGUACCCUGGAAUACAGUUGUAUAAACCUCAUGUCGGUCUCUGCAGAACUGACUGUACAAGCACAUUUUCUCAAGGUUUCUCCAUUAGUGGACUGUGCUUCUGGCCUUGUAGUUCCUUUAGGUGCCUAUAGGUUCUGCUUGAACUGGCUCAGAUGAUCAGUUGGUUAUUUGGGAGUCUGCCAUUCUAGAAUCACAGGGUGGUAAUAAGUACAGAACAAGUGCUUACUUAAGGAAGACCCUUGUUUCAUCUGUUUAUGUCUGCUUGAUUGUAUACAUCAUGAAGAAAACAACCUGAAAUUUCUUACCUCUGUGCAUAAUUCAGAACCCUCAGAAAUAUUUUUCUGUUGAAAGGAUGUCUUGACAUUUCUGUGUCCCUGUGGACUUAAGAAACAUCUUUGAGCGCUGCCAUGGUUAAGCAGGAACUUAAAGAAGGGGGGCCCGGUGUAGAGUUGAGAUGCUCAAGCUUGUAGAGGCUACAGAUCUAUUGUCUGUAGGCUUAUGUAACAGGCUCACAUCUCAAAGACAUUUCCAUUGUCGACACUGAGCUCACAUUCCAAAGCAGGCUGUGUGUGAGGGAGGCCAAUCCUCAAACCUUAGCAUGAGUUGCCUUUUAUGAGAGUGACAAAGCCCAUACCAUAGGAAGCCAGAAAGAUGAAACAGGUCAAAUACCACGGAAAGGUAUUUGCUAUUCGAGAAGGCCUAGUUCCAAGUAUUCUGUUCUGAUAUCUCCAUCCUAUCAUCCAGUUUGACCUGCUGUGUUUGAGAUUUUGUUUAAAUAUAGCCAUUAUCCUUAAGGAAAAAAAAUUAAGAAAUAGGAGUUGUAGCUAGGCCUAUAGCAUUAUCUACCCUAUUCUGAAAUAGAAAAUUCAUUACCAACGUUCUAUUUUUUCUUUCUUUCCUGUUACAUGCUGUUAUUAUAGAGAACAAUGAAAAGAUUGUAUAUGAAAAGGUUUUUUGAAACUUACUCCCAAAUUUACUUAUGAGGAAUAAAUAGGAGUUUUCAUCUUCAUUUUCUGUUUGUAGAUGGUCUUUAGCCGUAGCUUUAGUUAAUCUCUAAAUUAACACGAAUAAGUAUUCAUUCUUUUUUUAUUUUCUUUAGGUAUGUUAUAUGGUAGAUAAAUCUACAUGAAUAUAUUAAAACAGUUUAAGUACAAAUCUUGGGAUAUACCUAAGUGCAGAAAUCAAAAUUAAAUGGUAAAAGGAAAGUUUUACUUUCCUAUCCUAAUAUGCUACACUCGCCUUUUUCUGAAGGAUUAGGUUUAUUUUUUUUAUAAGAUUACCAUCCUAAUAAGCGAGCAUUGGACAGGUGAAUGUUGCCAUGGAGACCUUUGGCAGCCGCUGAAGGGUCUGCUGAGCCACCCAUGUUCUCUGGCCACGUGUGAGGGGACACAGGGAGUCGUUUGUGCAGAAAUAAACGUGGAAGAUUCUCGAUUGCUCGCAAGCCUCUAGAGUAUCCAUUGUUUACAGAAUUUAAAAAAUUCUCUUUGUUGUAGCCAUCUGUGUGUAUGGGUCUUCGCAUAGGCAAACCUUUCUUUGGGGAAUGUAGUUCUUUAGAAAUGUCUAGUUCUUUUUGGAGUGUAUUUCUGGAUGACGCAUUUCUUUGAGGUAUUGUUCGGCUCGUGAAUGUUUCUUGUCCUAUCAGUAGGUUUGGUCAGUUUACAUUCAGAGAAUGUCAUUCAGCUAAGAAGUCAUACAGAGUAAUGAUGACACAGAGCUUGGCUUUUUGAAUUAAUAAAAUAUGUUACUAUUAGAGGGAGAAAUGAGGAAUGAGAGAGCCAAUCCAUGUGUAUGGUUUGGAGCACAUCACAAACUCUGGAAUAUACAGUUUUUGAAAGCACAGCACAGGUUUUUCUGAGGUUAUUUUCUGUUCAUUUUUAGUAUUUCAAAGAAAAUUGGAUCUGUGUUUGCAUUCUAUGUAUGCAUAAUUCAUCAGAAUACUGCUCUGAAUG